rnacentral:rRNA from 1 species
GUCCACGCCCUAAACGAUGUCAAUUAGCUGUUGGGGGUUAGAAUCCUUGGUAGCGUAGCUAACGCGUGAAAUUGACCGCCUGGGGAGUACGGCCGCAAGGUUAAAACUCAAAGGAAUUGACGGGGCCCGCACAAGCGGUGGAUGAUGUGGAUUAAUUCGAUGCAACGCGAAAAACCUUACCUGCUCUUGACAUGUACGGAACUUGCCAGAGAUGGCUUUGGUGCCCGAAAGGGAGCCGUUAACACAGGUGCUGCAUGGCUGUCGU